UCCUCCUGAAAGACAUGGGUAGUGAGAUGUUCUUACGCAAUCGCGUCUCACUAUCUUGUCUUUCAUGCGGCG
rnacentral:pre_miRNA from 7 species